GUUUCAGCAGCCGCGGUAAGACGGAGGGUGCAAACGUUGUUCGGAAUCACUGGGCAUAAAGCGCACGUAGGCGGUCCGCUAAGUCAUGUGUGAAAUCCCCCGGCUCAACCGGGGAAUUGCACUUGAUACUGGCGGGCUCGAGGAUGGUAGGGGUGAGUGGAACUCCAGGUGGAGCGGUGAAAUGCGUAGAUAUCUGGAGGAACACCGGUGGCGAAAGCGGCUCACUGGACCAUGACUGACGCUGAGGUGCGAAAGCUAGGGUAGCAAACGGGAUUAGAAACCCUCGUAGUCC
rnacentral:rRNA from 1 species